UCAAAAUGAUUACACUUGCACUAAUUAAACUGAUCAUUCUGGGAUUUGCUUCAGGAGCCAGUGAUGUUACACAAAGACCGAACAUACUAUGGGUUUUACAGGGAGAAUCUGCACAUAUGAACUGCAGUCAUACUAAGGAUGCAAGCUAUAUCUACAUGUCCUGGUUCAGACAAAAGCAGCAAGAGUCGAUGAAAUCCGUUGCAUUUAUUUCGACCAGCAACAAUCCAGACUUUGGUGAUUUACCUAAGGGGAAAUAUUCAGCCAAUAAAACUGUAGCUGAGAGUGGAUAUUUCACUGUAGAAAAGGUGCAGCCUGAUGACAGUGGUGUGUAUUUCUGUGCAGUCAGUGAGCACAGUGACACAGACUUACUGUACUGCUGUACAAAAACCUAA